UCUGGAAACUGUNUGACUUGAGUGCAGAAGGGGAGAGUGGAAUUCCAUGUGUAGCGGUGAAAUGCGUAGAUAUAUGGAGGAACACCAGUGGCGAAAGCGGCUCUCUGGUCUGUCACUGACGCUGAGGCUCGAAAGCGUGGGUAGCGAACAGGAUUAGAUACCCUGGUAGUCCACGCCGUAAACGAUGAGUGCUAGGUGUUAGGCCCUUUCCGGGGCUUAGUGCCGGAGCUAACGCAAUAAGCACUCCGCCUGGGGAGUACGACCGCAAGGUUGAAACUCAAAGGAAUUGGCGGGGGCCCGCACAAGCGGUGGAGCAUGUGGUUUAAUUCGAAGCAACGCGAAGAACCUUACCAGGUCUUGACAUCCCGAUGCUAUUCUUAGAGAUAGGAAGUUACUUCGGUACAUCGGAGACAGGUGGUGCAUGGUUGUCGUCAGCUCGUGUCGUGAGAUGUUGGGUUAAGUCCCGCAACGAGCGCAACCCUUAUUGUUAGUUGCCAUCAUUAAGUUGGGCACUCUAGCGAGACUGCCGGUAAUAAACCGGAGGAAGGUGGGGAUGACGUCAAAUCAUCAUGCCCCUUAUGACCUGGGCUACACACGUGCUACAAUGGUCGGUACAACGAGUUGCGAGCCGGUGACGGCAAGCUAAUCUCUGAAAGCCGAUCUCAGUUCGGAUUGGAGGCUGCAACUCGCCUCCAUGAAGUCGGAAUCGCUAGUAAUCGCGGAUCAGCACGCCGCGGUGAAUACGUUCCCGGGCCUUGUACACACCGCCCGUCACACCACGAGAGUUUGUAACACCCGAAGUCGGUGAGGUANCCUUUUAGGG
rnacentral:rRNA from 1 species